rnacentral:rRNA from 1 species
CAGUCGCCGCGGUAAUACGGAGGGGGCUAGCGUUGUUCGGAAUUACUGGGCGUAAAGCGCACGUAGGCGGCUUUGUAAGUUAGAGGUGAAAGCCUGGAGCUCAACUCCAGAAUUGCCUUUAAGACUGCAUCGCUUGAAUCGCGGAGAGGUGAGUGGAAUUCCGAGUGUAGAGGUGAAAUUCGUAGAUAUUCGGAAGAACACCAGUGGCGAAGGCGGCUCACUGGACGCGUAUUGACGCUGAGGUGCGAAAGCGCGGGGAGCAAACAGGAUUAGAUACCCCCGUAGUCCCUGUCUCUUAUAC